CCCUUAGAUGUUCUGGGCCGCACACGCGCUACACUGAACAGUUCAACAAGUCUUAACCUUGGCCGAUAGGUCUGGGUAAUCUUUGAACGCUGUUCGUGAUUGGGAUAGACCUUUGCAAUUAUGGGUCUUCAACGAGGAAUUCCUAGUAAACGCAAGUCAUCAGCUUGCAUUGAUUACGUCCCUGCCCUUUGUACACACCGCCCGUCGCACCUACCGAUUGAAUGGUCCGGUGAAAUCUCGGGACGGCGGCUUGGUCGCUUGCGUCCGACUGCUGAAACUUGAUUAAACCAUAUCAUUUAGAGGAAGGUGAAGUCGUAACA
rnacentral:rRNA from 1 species